rnacentral:rRNA from 1 species
CACGAACGCUGGUGGCGUGCUUAACACAUGCAAGUCGAACGGGAUUUAGUAAACAGAAGCCUCGGUGGAAGAUUACUAAUGAGAGUGGCGAACGGGUGAGUAACGCGUGAGCAACCUGCCUAUGACAGUGGGAUAGCCUCGGGAAACCGGGAUUAAUACCGCAUAAAAUCGUAGAAACACAUGUUUUAACGGUCAAAGAUUUAUCGGUCAUAGAUGGGCUCGCGUCUGAUUAGCUAGUUGGUGAGAUAACAGCCCACCAAGGCGACGAUCAGUAGCCGGUCUGAGAGGAUGAACGGCCACAUUGGAACUGAGACACGGUCCAAACUCCUACGGGAGGCAGCAGUGGGGAAUAUUGCACAAUGGGGGAAACCCUGAUGCAGCGACGCCGCGUGAACGAAGAAGGUAUUCGUAUCGUAAAGUUCUGUCCUAUGGGAAGAUAAUGACAGUACCAUAGAAGAAAGCUCCGGCUAAAUACGUG